GAUGACAUGUUCCUCACUUUCUUAAAUUUUUUAAAGAUUUUAAUCAUUUUAAAAAUGAUAAUAAAUAAUUUUUUUAAGUAUAUUAUGAGGCCGUUUAAAAUUUGAAUAAAAAAAAAUAUUUUUCAUCAGUUUCAACCUGUCCUUGAGUUAUCCCUCUUUGUGAAAAAGACAAAAUAGGCUGUUGUAAAUAACACAUUUAUUCACAUUCCCUGUUCAAUAUAUUCAAGGAUUCAAAUAUUAUUGCAUUCAAAGAGAGAUUAAUGUUCAUACCACAAGAAAAUGUGUCUGAUUUACAAAGCAAUUCCACGACACACAAGUAUUUUUAUUUGAAGUCUUUACUGGGGAAAACAGGUAAGUAAAUCACUUACCACUGAGUAAACAGUUCAUUGACUCACUAACUGAUGGGGAAAAAAGGUUAACAACUCACGAACUAAUGGGGAAAACACGAAAAUAACCCACUAACCAAUGGGGAAACAGAUGAACAACUCACUUACCAAUGGGGAACCAGAUGAUCAACUCACCAACCAAUGGGGAAACAGGUUAAAAACUCACGAACUAAUGGGGAACCAGGUUAACAAUGGGAAAACAGGUAAACAGCUCACUAAUCAAUGGGAAAACAGGUUAACAACUCACGAACUAAUGGGAAAACACGUAAAUACCACUGAGGAAAUUUUACCUUGUGUGGGUCAAGAUCAGUUUGGUAUCCAUUCAUUUUAAGGUCAUUUCUUGUUAAGCAUUUCAUAUUUUUUUACAUUGAAAGUUAACAAUGGACUGAAAAACUUAAUGAUAUUAAGUACAGACACAUGUAGAAGAAUUGUUGUGAUGACAGGUUAAUGUCCUUUAAUAUAGAUUCAUGUUUUGUUAUUGUUUUGUAGAUGAGAUUACAUGUUUAAAUGUUGUUUUGUUGAUGAGUUUACUGUCCGUUAAUACAGAUACAUGUAUGUAUUUUCUGAUGAUGAUGUAACGAUCUGUUACAGGGGAGGGUUCUCCACCCCCAGUAACACCAGGUGGUCAGCGUCAGGGAGUGUGCCCGCUCCCAGGGGUUCCCCGACACCUACAGAUUCUUUGGCAACAUUCUGGACAAACACAGACAGAUCGGUAAUGCUGUUCCACCUCCCAUGGCUCGGUUCAUCGGACUGGAGAUUCAAAAGUCGCUGGAAUGGAAGACCGCUCAACAACCAGACAUAGAAAACAGAGACAGAGGUCAAAGGUGAUGUGAAGAUGGAGGUCAAGGUUGCUGAGGGGUCACCUUAUAAGCCGGGCUCUUCCCUGAAUUAACAGUUGCAUGGAUGUGAUAAGAAACGUGAAGAUUUCCAAAUUAUGAAAAGAAGAAUCUUGGAUGAAAUAAACAGACGAUUUGGAGGAACACGCUAUCAGCCAAAAUAUGUAAUGGUGUCGCCAAAUGAACCUGACAAAAAUUGAAAGUAAAUUUAAUCAUGAGUCAUUAAUUAAACUGCAGACGUUAUUACUGAUCUUAUGGACUGUGAUAAUGAAGUAGUAGAGGGUACAGAUUUUACACUAAGUUAUUCAAGUGCCAAGUUAGAUGUUGGUCUCUUUCUUCAUGGAACAGCGUGAAAUGUUGUGUCCUGUCAUUUUCUUUCUCAAAUGAAAUUUAACUAAAUAAAAAA